UGAGACACCUGGCCAGACUGGGGGGCUGAGGUGUGCACAGAGGAAAUCUCUAGAGCAGAGAGGCCUGGAUUUGAAGGGGCUGCAGCAAGGACUGAAGAGUGUUCCCGUGGGGAGCAGUGUGAGUGAAGGCCCCAGCCCGGGCUCCCCAGGGGUUGCUGAGGCCACUCAGAAGCCAGAGGAGAACUGGUGUCCAGUGUGUAUGACUCAGUCUCCAGCUGAGUACAGUGAUGUUGUGGGCCGUCACAAUCAUGCACCACUCACGCACGACUGCCCCAGGGCAGCGUCCUUCUCGUCCUUCCAGCUCCAUGCAGGACCUCAGCCGCAGUCCCGACCAGGAAAAAAUCUUCCUCUGCACUCAGCCACAGUCCCGACCAGGAAAAAUCUUCAAUCAUGUUUGAUAAAACAAUACAAAAGUCCAGGCGGACGCGGGGGGCUGGAGAAACCCCACCCUUUUCCACAGCGCUUUUCACUUUCUUCUUUGUUGGCCCGUCUGAGGGUCACUGAUGGGGAAAUCAUUCCUUUUUUUCCUUCAUUCUUUUAAUUGGCAACCUGCCCCGAGCUGCCCUCUCCACCAGGUACCCAAAAGGUGGGGGAGAGGAGUGACCAGAAGAGGCGUCAGAACCUGAGGGCUGCAUAAAAACUGUCACACAGAUGUCAGGGAAGCGCGAGUGUUGUAAAGAGCCAGCUCUCUGCUGCGUUGGGAAGCAUCAUUACUUUGCUGCUCCUGAUGCUGGGGAGGCGUUUGAGAACCACAGUGGAGUCUCACAUUGGCGUCGUUAAGCAGCAGUGUGAUCGAGUAGAAAAAGCUCAGCCCCGGGACUCUGACGGGUCUGAGUCUGUGCCGGGUCCUGUGGUCGGGGUGGCUGACCUGAGGCAGUCUCAGUCUUAUCCUCUGUUAAAUGGGGAUGAUCUCAGCAGCAGCCUGAGCGACUGUCAGGACCAGAGAUGAUGUCUGGGAACUGCCCCCUGGUGGCCGGCACCCAGCACAGCGUUCCUGUUUGUUUCAUUGUUUAAUUAGAGUUAGAUCUGCCUUGAGUCACAAGCAUGAAAUUUGACUGACUCAAUAGAAGAUACGCAUGGAGAGCUGAUGGUCCACAGUCUGUCCCCUGUACAAAGUAAGAGUGGUUCUGAUCUGCCAGAGCCUGGACACUUUUGUCAAUAAGCAUUUUGUAUGAGGCAGCAGCUGAGAGGCUGGGCUCUGGCCCUCAUGCCUUCCCUUCGUGGCCUUUGGACCUUGAAGAGGUCACUUCCUGUCCUUCACAGAGGUCGGGCCCUGAACUCUCCGAGGAGACCAAGGCUUGGCACAGCUCACAGGAGACCUGCAGUGAGAGGCCUGUGGAAUCUGGAAGGAGCUGUCAAGGGGGAAGGAUUAUAGGGAUGUGGGGUGCGAUGCUCCCGGCCGUGCACAGGUGCCCUGAAACUUCCCUGAAACAAAGCCGGCGCACACCGGAGCUCCGAGUUUGCAGUUCUCCCUUAACACUAGGGUUCUCCGACGGAAAGUAGCUUUAGUUACGAUCCCAGCUCCUGUCAGUUUGCUCGGCUCUCAUGUGUGGUGGAAGCACUGAGACCCCCGCAGCCGGCAGCAGCGUGGGCAGUGCAGAGAGCCAGGCCUCGUGUGUGGGUUUCCUCCCGAGCACGAGUCUUUGGCUAUCGUGGCCAGAAUCCACCCAGAAUUCAGUGGUUCAAAGCUCUUAAAACUAAUCACACAGCAUCACCAGAUGGACCUGCCACAAAGGGGACCUGAUCCUGCCCAGAAGUGCCCCAGGCACACACUCCACCUCCCUGCUCUGUCCUCACACAGGGGUAGUCACCUGCCACACUGCAACUGAUGCUUGGCUACCGUGUACUGGCUGGAGGCCUCCUGCAGAGGUACCGGGGCUCCCGUUGAGGACUUUUACCCUGUGCAAACCAAGGGCUUUUGUGGAGCCCCUUCCAUCUCCCCAUUCUGUGGCUACAGCAUUCCAGACUGCACCACUAAGGGUCAGCCAGGGGUCGUCCUUCCAGUGAUUGAACAUGCACAUGCCUAACCCCCCGCCACGGGCCUCCUAGCAAGAGUCACAAGGCCACAGGGUACAUACAGGGCAGAAUGAAAGGUCUGCCAUUGCCCCUGGAGCCCCUGGGCACAGUUAAGCCACACUGGGAUGCAGUGGUCCAGGCAGAAAGAGAAGGGGUGUGGUGGGGUACCCAGGGGAGGCACCAAAGGACAGCCAUCUGUGGUGGGAGCUGUGUCACCCCAAAGACGUGCCAAAGCCCUGGCCCCUGGGAAUGGGCCCUUAUCUGGAAGAGGGCCUUUGUACUGUCAUCAGUUCAGAUGAGGUGUGUGGAUGGGGUGGGCCCAGUCCAGUGCCUGAGGUCCUUACUAGAAGUGAAAGCAGAGACGCAGGGAGCACACUGUGAGAGGGAGAGGCGGGAUCCAUGUGGUGGGCCUGUAGAUCAAGGGAGCUCGGACACAGGCUCUGAACAAAUUCGCCCUCAGAGCUGUGGGAAGAAACCAGCGCUCUCAACACCUUGAUCUUGAGCUUUUGGCCUCCAGGACUGUGAGAGAACCAAUGUUUGUGGCUGGUGCUCUGGUGCUGCAGUUUGUGGUGGUCACAGCUGCCCAGGGACACUGUGGAGCUCUUCCCCAUUGACUGCCCCCAGAGUCCUGGCACCCCUUCACCUUCAAGGGCAGAGCUGUCGAUGUGGACCGUGGUCCACCACAGCCCACGAGCACGCUGGUACUGGUGAGUGAGCCUGCCCUUUGGUAGCUCCAGCCCUUCUGGUCUGAUGCUCCAGGAGAGUGGUACGCUGGACAGAGGAAGCCCAUCCACUCAGUUCUUCCUUCACCCAAUCCUACCCCAACACUGACUCCAGCCCCAGCUCCUCACCUGGGGCCCUUGCUCCGCACCUGGUUCCCAGAGCUCCCGGCACUCUCCUUUGUCCUUGCCAUGGACCUAUAGCAGAUGAGGCUUCUCUCCCAAUCUCCUGCCUCUCUGCCUCAAAUGCCAGCAAGCUGGGUUGUCUUGGAGCACACAGCAGUUUGCAUCCCAACACAGCCAGGGCUCCGCUUCCUCCCUGCACAGGGCCCCAGGGCACCGACAAGCUCCUGGGUGCUCACUGUCUCUCCAGGGUCACUCACGCGGCCUCAGCUUCCAUUUCCUGUCCAUCAGAUGAAGGCAUCAGUGGGGAAUUGGGUGGGGAAAUGAUAAAGUGUGAAACUGUGGGGACAGGUGCCACAAAAGGGAAGCGAUUCCAGAUGUUGGAUCACUCAGGAUACAUUUCUCAGAUAUUCCUUUUGUACACAGUAGCCCCAGAGGCAGAAUAAAAGGUCUGCCAUUGACCCUGGAGCCCCCUGGACACAGAGCCACACUGGAAGGCAGUGGUCCAGGCGGAAAGAGAAGGGGUAUGGCUGGGUACCCAGGGAAGACACCAAAGCCAGGCUCCUUCAUUCAUUAUGAGUGGGAGAAUCCAGUGGACAGAGCACUGCCCGGGAGCCAG